rnacentral:rRNA from 1 species
GACGAACGCUGGCGGCGUGCUUAACACAUGCAAGUCGAGCGGUAAGGCCCUUUCGGGGGUACGACGAGCGGCGAACGGGUGAGUAACACGUGGGUGACCUGCCCUCAGCUCUGGGAUAAGCCUGGGAAACUGGGUCUAAUACCGGAUAUGACUCCAUGACGCAUGUUGUGGGGUGGAAAGCCUUGUGCGGCUGAGGAUGGGCCCGCGGCCUAUCAGCUUGUUGGU